UUAACAUUGACGGUACCACUGAAGGAAGCACCGGCUAACUCCGUGCCAGCAGCCGCGGUAAUACGGAGGGUGCAAGCGUUGUUCGGAAUUACUGGGCGUAAAGCGCGCGUAGGCGGUUUGUUAAGUCAGAAGUGAAAACCCUGGGCUCAACCCCGGAAGUGCGAUUGAAACUAUCAGACUUGAGUAUUGGAGAGGGAAGUGGAAUUCCUAGUGUAGCGGUGAAAUGCGUAGAUAUUAGGAGGAACACCAGUGGCGAAGGCGACUUCCUGGCUUGUAACUGACACUGAGGCGCGAAAGCGUGGGGAUCAAACAGGAUUAGAUACCCUGGUAGUCCACGCCGUAAACGAUGAGUGCUAGGUGUCGGGGGUAUCGACCCCCUCGGUGCCACAGCUAACGCAAUAAGCACUCCGCCUGGGGAGUACGGUCGCAAGACUGAAACUCAAAGGAAUUGACGGGGGCCCGCACAAGCGGUGGAGUAUGUGGUUUAAUUCGACGCAACGCGAAGAACCUUACCAAGGCUUGACAUGCUGGGAACCCUGGAAACUAGAGAGUGCCUCUUAAGAGGAGCCCGGUGACAGGUGCUGCAUGGCUGUCGUCAGCUCGUGUCGUGAGAUGUUGGGUUAAGUCCCGCAACGAGCGCAACCCUUGUCUUUAGUUGCCAGCAUUAAGUUGGGCACUCUAAAGAGACUGCCGGUGUCAAACCGGAGGAAGGUGGGGAUGACGUCAAGUCCUCAUGGCCUUUAUGUCCAGGGCUACACACGUGCUACAAUGGGCUGUACAAAGGGUCGCAAACUCGCGAGAGUAAGCCAAUCCCAAAAAGCAGCUCCUAGUUCGGAUUGGAGUCUGCAACUCGACUCCAUGAAGCUGGAAUCGCUAGUAAUCGUGGAUCAGCACGCCACGGUGAAUACGUUCCCGGGCCUUGUACACACCGCCCGUCACACCAUGAGAGUUGGUUGUACCAGAAGUUGCCGGGCUAACCCGUAAGGGGGGCAGGCACCUAAGGUAUGGCUGAUGAUUGGGGUGAAGUCGUAACAAGGUAACC
rnacentral:rRNA from 1 species